GUGCUCGCUUUGGCAGUACAUAUACUAAAAUUGGAACGAUACAGAGAAGAUUAGCAUGGCUCCUGUGCAAGCAUGACACGCAUAGCAAGGAACUACAGAAACAGAUA